UCGAACGAACUCUUCGGAGUUAGUGGCGCACGGGUGCGUAACGCGUGGGAAUCUGCCCUUGGGUACGGAAUAACUCAGAGAAAUUUGUGCUAAUACCGUAUAAUGACUUCGGUCCAAAGAUUUAUCGCCCAAGGAUGAGCCCGCGUAAGAUUAGCUAGUUGGUGGGGUAAAGGCCUACCAAGGCUACGAUCUUUAGCUGGUCUGAGAGGAUGAUCAGCCACACUGGGACUGAGACACGGCCCAGACUCCUACGGGAGGCAGCAGUGGGGAAUAUUGGACAAUGGGCGAAAGCCUGAUCCAGCAAUGCCGCGUGAGUGAUGAAGGCCCUAGGGUUGUAAAGCUCUUUUACCCGGGAUGAUAAUGACAGUACCGGGAGAAUAAGCUCCG
rnacentral:rRNA from 1 species